UAUCUUGUAAGGAAAAUAAAACAGGGUGACGUGAUGGAGAGUGACUAGGGGACGGUGGGUGCUACUUUAGAUGUAAGAGAGGGCUCACUGAGGAGGUGACAUUUGAACUGAGUUCUAAAUGGAAAGGGCAGGCAAAAAAUCUAGGCAGAAGAGUGUUCCAGGCUGGAAGUGAGUGCAAAAGUCCUGAACUUGGUUGCUGGAGGACCUGGGACAAGGCCAGAGCAGCUGGAGCACAGAGUGAAUCCACACAGUGAACCCACAGGGUGACAGACAGGUCGCACACGCCCAGCCUAAGUGAAUGCAUGUGAAUGCAGGGGAGGGGGUGGGAGAGGAAGUCAGAGGUCUGCAGGGGCUAUCUGGUGCAGAGGCUGAUGGAUGUUAAGCUUGGAUGAAGUCUCAGAAGUUUAGAGUUAGCAGGAGCUUUGGAGAUCUAUCCCAGUCUUCCCAUUUCAACAGAGUCCUGAAGAGACUUAGCCAAAAGGGCAGCUUUAACCUGGCCAUCAAUUCGAGGCCAUUAUAUUUACCAACCAAACGUUUAACC
rnacentral:lncRNA from 1 species